rnacentral:lncRNA from 1 species
CAAGCAAUGCAGGCAAGAGUUGGGAGUCCCAAAUUUAAGGGUCAAUAUUUCAUUCUGAUCUUUUCCGUCUCUGGAGCCUACCAGUGAGGGGCAGACGAUCUAGUGGGCAGGCCUUAGUUCUGAGGUUUGAGGGUGCCCCACCCAAUCCAGCUUGCUUCAGGGAAUGGGGAGUACAGUGUUGUCAAGCUCCAGUCCCAGCUCUGCUACCCCUGGGCCAUGUGACCUUGGGCAAGUCACUUAACUACCCCAAGCCUUGUAAACCAAGGGACAAGCACAGAGCCAUCAUGGGAGUCACAUGAGCAAGCGAAACAGACACAGGGUUCAGCUCACCGCAGGUGCUUAAACAGUGGGGCUAAUAUUAUUCACGGGUGCCUGUCAUCCCCAAAAUUAAUCCAGCCCAGACACUGAACCAAGAGGGAUCCAAGACCCCUGAAGGGAGUAGGUGUGGGGUGGUCCUUGGCACUGGCAAUGGCAAGGUUGCCCCUACUGUUUUAGGCCAGAAAGGCUUUCAGGAGCUGGGUGUCCUGUGACACCAGCCUUCUUUUCCCCAUCCUCUGAGGCUGACAGACACCCAGACCUCCCACGACUUCAAGGGCCAUGCCAGAGGAGGCACUGAGGCACAGAUGGUGGGCUUGUCCCUGCCUGUCAGCCAGGCCUGUGUCUCGUGGCCCAGGCCUCCAGGCCAGAAUACUCCAUUCCCUGCCAUUGGUCCAAGGUGAAGUUUGACACAAUUACAGGGAUUUGGGUAGUUAUGCUCCUUUACCACAGGGAGGAGCCCUAGAGACCAUGGCCAAUUCACAGACACAAGAAGGAAGAUGGGUAAAGAUGGGAGCCCAAAGCUUCAGUUUGUGGAGGCAUUAAAGGGCUAACAAAUAAGUGGCUAAUAAAGCCGUUUAUUGCUUAAGCUAGUCUGAGUUAAUUCUCUGUCACUUGUCACCAAAGUGUCCUGGUGAAAACCUACACCAUUUCACCAGGUUAUUGGGUGAAUAAAGGAGAUAAUAUUUCCAAGUCUUUGGCAUAAAAAUCAGUGCUCAGAAAAGUCAUCAAUAAGAUGAUUCUCAGCUGCAUGCAGUAAUGACCUUUGCACCUUCUCCAUCCACAGUUUUGCAAUAUCACCCCACUGUGUUUAUACAAAUACAAUUUGUGAAAACUCUCCCUAACAUGAACACAGGUUUUGAGCUGGUAUUUAAAUGCAGACAAUGGGGGGAGGGGAUUUUCUCUGUAGAUUCCAUUCAGAUGGAUAUUGUCAGAGAUUUCUGAGAACAAAUGAAAAUAAUUGUUGGUGUAAAAUGCCUAAGAGAACACAUGUAGGGUUACCUCUGGUCCCAUAUGCAUAGAGUGGAACCCCCUCUGGGUAACCCACAACUGGAUCAGGCAGUGGGGUACUUCAUAAACAACAGAGUUCAAUUGAAAAAGUGAAUUACUGGUGCUGAGUUACUAAUAAGAAAAUAAUCAAGUUAUACCCACCACAAAAAUGUCCACAAACAGAACGAUUGUGACAAGGGCAGAAACCUGGAGUCAUGCUCUGUAAAACAAAGUGAAGCUGCAACUCUGGAAGAAGGCAACUUACUGCAAUAGGUCUUUUUGCUUAUAAAACACUCUGCUAACAAUGAGUGAUAAUGAAGAGUGAUGAUGGCCAGAACAAUAAUAGCAGCUGCUGAGAACUAAGUACUUAACCUAGGCCAGUGUCUCUGGGAUUAUUUCAUUUCAUUUUCACUCAAAAUAUUAUCAUCACCAUUCUACAGAUGAAGACACUGAGGCUCUGAGAAGUGCAGCAGCUUGUUCAAGGUCACUGAGAGCAGUUUACCGGUCUAAACAAGCAACUCUGCCUAAAAGGAAGGCCAGGACAGACAGGAAAAGCCCCAAAUAUUUUGCAACUCUGCCUUUCUGAGGGGUGGGGCAGACUUCAUCAGACAGGCUCCAAGCCAAGGAUUGCCUGGGAAUGGCCUGAGGACAGAGGACAAGGCCACAUCCCAAGGCAACAGGAGUGAGGACUCAACAGCAGGGCUGAGAGGUGUGGCCCAUCUUAAGCUGUCUCAUGGGUGCUGGCCAGCAGGUUGGCUCAGACAGGCCAGGACAAGGGAAGCGGGAGAAAGGGAGACUGACGACCAGAAAGCCACCCUCCGUCUCAAGGCUAUUACAGGCAUGAUCUGUGCCUCUUGCAUCAUGGCCUUGUGCUGUCCAGAAGGGAAGGGCUGAACUCAGAGUAGUCCGCCACUUGCUAAGUUCACAGCCAAUCGGCACAGAUGGGAAGUUGGAGAAGGGAAGGGAGGAGGGUGGUUCAUUUUCACAGAUUAAAGUCUUCCCCCUUAUCUACCCACCCCCCAAGAGUCCAGGGAAGAAAUCUUGUAGACUGAGAGCCUAAAAAAUUGAUGAACAUCAGCAGGUCAGGAAAAGAAGCAGGAAGUAGGGUUAUCCAUGGGGAGAUCAGACACAGAAGCAGGUGCAAGAGCUGGGCAGGAAGUUGGACAAUGCCAGGCUGGGACCUUUGGGAGCCUGGCCAUAUACUCCCUGAGGUCUCUCCAAAUCGCUGGAAAAGGGGGGGAUCUGUCUCAGUGGUGACACUCAUAGCCAUGGCCCUGCUCAGAAGAGGGCCUGGCCAGCAGCACCACUGCAAGGAAGACUCUCCUACCACUAAGCAGAAAGAAUAUUAAGACAAACUACUGAGAUUUCCCCCCCUGGAGUUUUUACUUUAUUUCUGAUUUUUUUUUUUUUUUCUUUUUAGGGCUGCACCUGCAGCAUAUAGAGGUUCCCAGGCUAGGGGUCGAAUUGGAGCUGUAGUCACCAGCCUACGCUACAGCCACAGCAAUGCCAGAUCUGAGCCACGUCUGCGACCUACACCACAGCUCACGGCAACGCCAGAUCCUUAACCCACAGAGCAAGGCCAGGGAUCAAACCUGCGUCCUCAUGGAUGCUAGUCAGAUUUGUUUCCACUGAGUCAUGAUGGGAACUCCAAGUUUUUAUUUUAUAUUAUUUGGCUGCUGUGUUGUUUGGAACAACAAAGUUUAUGAUUCUUUUAUCUUUCUCAGGGUAUGUAUCUUUCUUCAUUAGCUAAUGUUCCUCUUUGUCCUGUUUAAUGCUUUUGAUCUUGAAUUCUACUUCAGUAAUAAUGCUGGUGCUCAUACGUUCUUUUUUUGUCUUAACCUAUCUUUGUCUAGUCCUUUAUAUUUUACAGUCUUUCUUUGUCUGUUUUUCUUUAUUUCUUGUUUUCUAAAAAAAGUAUACAACUGGAGUUUAUUUUACUUUUUGUUAUAUUUGGAACAUACAGAAACCUAUAACUGCUAUGUUAUGAAACGUAGGAUAAACACCUAUGAGCCUAGGUAGAACAUUACCAGAGACAGGAACUAGAACUUUACCACGACAAUUGAGUCUUCCUGUGUCCCAGCCCAUUUCUCCCCUUACCUCACCCUGAAGAUAACCAUUAUUUUGUAUUUUGUGUUUAAUAUUAUACAUUAUCUAAUAUGAAUUUAUAUAUAUUAUAAUCUAUAUCAUACACAAUAUAAUUAUAUAUUAUUGCUUUGAUAAAAAAUUCCCAGUUAUAUAUUGUUCACUUUUGCAUGUUUCUGAGCUUUAUACAAGCCAUAUUCUAUGCAUAGUCUUCUACUAGUUCAGUUUUGACUCAAUAUCAUUCCCAACAUUCAUCCACAUUUUUGCACCUAGCCAUGAUGCAUAGCUAUGUAAAAUUCUACAUAUUUAUUAAUUCUCCUGUUGCAGGUAUUUGAGUUUUUCCAAUUAUUCUUCAAAAUAAAGAGUCCUGCAAUGAGUUCCAUCCACAUGGCUCCUAAAGCACACAUACCAGAGUCUUUCCUGAGCAUAACCUAGUGGAAGUCGAUGGCUUGCCAGAAGAUGCACAGUCAGCUUUGUCAAAGUCAGUGUUUUCCGUAGUGAUUUUACUAUUUGCACUUCCACCAGCAAUUAAGAAGAGUUCCCACUGCUCCCCAUCCUUGACUAUACUUACUGAUUUUUGACUUGCUCCAAAGAAUCUGAACUUGCUACUACCUUGCUAUUAAUGAAGGUGGGCAUCUUUCCAUGUGUGUUUUCUCUUUUAUGAAACACCUAUUUAUGUCUUUUGCUUGAUUUUCUUUCGGGUUGUUUGUCUAUUUCUUAUUUACUUUGAGGGUUGUUUUUAAGAAAUGUAUUCUAGAUACAAAUACUUUGCUAGUUAUAUGUGCCACAAAUAAUUUCUUUCGGCUUGUGGAAUAGAAGUUAAUGUAGAUUUUAAUGUAGUCUGAUUCACCUUAUAUUUAUGGUUUCUGCUAUUUUGUGUGUCUUAUUUACAAAAUCCUUCACUACCCAAAUCAUAAAGAUAUUCUCUUAUAUUUUUUCUUAGAUUUUAUUUAUUUAUUAUUUAUUUAUUU